CAGCAGCCACGGGAAUACGGAGGGUGCAAGCGUUGCUCGGAAUCACUGGGCGUAAAGGACGCGUAGGCGGAUUAUCAAGUCUCUUGUGAAAUCUAACGGCUUAACCGUUAAACUGCUUGGGAAACUGAUAAUCUAGAGUAAGGGAGAGGCAGAUGGAAUUCUUGGUGUAGGGGUAAAAUCCGUAGAGAUCAAGAAGAAUACCCAUUGCGAAAGCGAUCUGCUGGAACUUAACUGACGCUAAUGCGUGAAAGCGUGGGGAGCAAACAGGAUUAGAUACCCGCGUAGUCCCUGUCUCUUAUAC
rnacentral:rRNA from 1 species